rnacentral:rRNA from 1 species
CACGUAGGGGCCAAGCGUUGUUCGGAUUUACUGGGCGUAAAGGGCGCGUAGGCGGCGUGACAAGUCACUUGUGAAAUCUCCGGGCUUAACCCGGAGCGGCCAAGUGAUACUGUCGUGCUAGAGUGCGGAAGGGGCUACUGGAAUUCUCGGUGUAGAGGUGAAAUUCGUAGAUAUUCGCAAGAACACCAGUGGCGAAGGCGGCUCACUGGCCCGAUACUGACGCUGAGGUGCGAAAGCGUGGGGAGCAAACAGG